rnacentral:tRNA from 10 species
AAAAAUACAAUAUACCAGAAUCUCUGUGACACAUCUAAGACAAUGUUAAGAGGGAAAUUUAUAGCAGUAAAUGCCCAAAUAAAAAAGUUAUGACAAUUUUAAUUUAACAACCUAACAUCAAUGGUAUUCACAUGGUAUCAGUGCUAUUCAUGUGGUAUCAGUGGUAACAUCAAUGGUAUACACAUAAGUGUAAGAACUUUAAAAAGUACUUAUUUGCAGAUGACAUGAUCUUAUAAAGAGAAAAUCCUAAAGAUUCCACCAAAACACUCUUAGAACUGAUAAACAGCAUCAGUAAAGUUGCUAGACAUAAAAUCAACAUACAAAAAUUGGUAAAAUUUUUAUACACGCAUAGAGAAGUAGCUGGAAAAGAAAUGUCAAGAAAAUAAUUCCAUUUAAAACAGCCAACUAAAAAUAAUAACAUAUCUAGGAAUAAAUUUAACAAAUGAUGUAAAAGAUCUACUCAAUGAAAAUUAUAUAAUUUUCAUGAAAUAAAUUGAAGAGAAAAAUGAAAAGGCAUCCCAUAUUUAUGGAUUGGAAGAAUUAAUGUUGUUAAAAUGACCAUAAUACCCAAAGUGACCCACAAAUUUAAUGCAAUGCCUAUCAAAAUACCAAUGACAUUCUUACAAGAAAAAGCAACGAUAAAAUUUCCAUAGAACCAAAAAAACCCGAAAGCCAAUGCCUAUCUGAGCAAAUAGAACAAAGCUACAGGCACCACAUUACCUAAUUUCAAAAUAUUCUACAAAGCCAUAGUAACCAACAACAUGGUACUGUCAUUAAAAAUAGACACAUACACCAAUGAAAGAUAAUAGAAAACCCAGAAAUAAAUCCACAUAUUUGCAACCAUCUCAUUUUCAACAAGGGCACCAAGAACCUACACUGAGAAAAGGACACUCUCUUUAAUAAAAACUGCUGGAAAAACUAGAUAGCCAUAUGCAAAAGAUUGAAACUGCACCCCUUUCUCUUAACAUAUACAAAAAUGAACUCAAAAUGGAUUAAAAACCUGAAUGUAAGACCCAAGUCUGUGAGAGUACUAGAAGAAAACAUAGAGGAAAUGCUUCAAGACAUUGGUCAGGGCAAAGAUUUUACAGAUAAGACUUCAAAACCACAGGCAACAAAUAUAAAAAUAGACAAAUAGGAUUAUGUGAGACUAAAAACCUUUGGCACAGCAAAGGAAACAACGGAGUGAGGAGACAACACAAAGAAUGGGAGAAAAUGUUUACAAACUCUUCAUCUGAAAUAAAAUUAAUAUCCAGAAUACCAAAGAAUCUGGAACAACAGUAAAAUAAUAAAAAUCUGAUUCUACAAUGGGUAUAAAUGAUCUAAAUAGAAAUUUAUUAAAGGAAGAUCUGAAAAUGGCAAAGGAAUAGUUGAAAAAUGCUCAGCAUCACUAAUCACCAGGGAAAUGCAAAUAAAAACCACAGUGAGAUAUGAUCUCACCCUAGUUGGAAUGGCUAUUAUCAAAAAGACAAAAAAAAAAAUCGAUGCUGCUGAGGAUGUGGAGUAAAGGGAACUCUUAUACACUGUUGGUAGAAAUGUAAAUUAGUACAUCCAUUACAGGAAGCAACAUGGAGGUUUCUCAAAAACUAAAAAUAGAACUACCAUAUUAUCCAUCAAUCCCACUGUUGAGUUUAUAUCCAAAGAGAGGAAAUCAGUAUGUCAAAGAGAUAUCUACAUUGUCAUGUUUAUUGCAGCACUAUUCCCAAUAGCCAUGUAAUCAAACUAAGUGUUCAUCAACAGAUUAACAAAUUAAAGAAAAUGUGGAAUAUAUACACAAUGGAAUACUAUUCAUCCAUAAAAAAUGAAAACCUGCAAUUUUUGGCAAAAUAGAUGUGCCUGGAGGACAAUGUUAAGUGAAGUAAGCCAGGCACAGAAAGAUAAAUACCACAUGUUUUCACUCAUAUGUGGAAGCUAAAUAAGUUGAUGUCACAGAUGUAGAGAACAGAACAGUGGUGACUAGAGGCUGGGAAGAGUAGGGAAUGAGGGUGAUAGAGAUAGGUUGUUUAACAAAUAGGAAGUUACAACUAGGUAAAAGGAAUAAAUUCUAGUGUUCUAGAGCACUGUAGGGAGACUAUUUUUUUUUUCAUUUUUUAACGUUUAUUUUAGGUUUGGAGGUACAUGUGAAGGUUUGUUACAUAGGUGAACACAAGUUACAGGAGUUUGUUGUACAUAUUACUUAAUUGCUCAGGUAUUAAACCCUGUACCAAAUAGUUAUCUUUUCUGCUCCUCUCUCUCCUCCCACUCUCCCCCUUCAAGUAGACCCCAUUAUCUAUUGUUUUCUUCUUUGUGUUCAUAAGUUCUUAUUAUUUAGCUCCCAUUUAUAAGUGAGAAUAUACAGUAUUUGGUUUUCUGUUCCUAUGUUAUUUUGCUAAGGAUAAUAGCCUCCAGCUCCAUUCAUGUUCCCACAAAAGACAUGAUCUUGUUCUCUUUCAUGGCUGCAUAGUAUUCCAUGGUGUAUAUGUGCCAUGUUUUCUUUAUCUAAUCUGUCGCUGAUAGGCAUUUAAGUUGAUUCCACUACUGUGAAUAGUUCUGCAAUGAACAUUCGUGUGCAUGUCUUUAUGGUAGGAUAAUUUAUAUUUCUCUGGGUAUAUACCCAGCAGUGGGAUUGCUAGGUCAAAUUGUAGUUUUGGUUUUAGCUCUUUGAGGAAUUGCCAUACUGCUUUCCACAGUGGUUGAACUAAUUUACACUCCCACCAAGAUUGUAUAAGUGAUCCUUUUUCUCCAAAACCUAACCAGAAUCUGUUAUUAUUUGGCUUUUAGUAAUAGCCAUUCCGCUUGGUGUUAGAUGGUAUCUCAUUGUGGUUUUGAUUUGCAUUUCUGUAAUAAUCAGUGAUAUUGAGCUUUUUUAUAUAUGCUUGUUUGCUGCAUGUAUGUCUUCUUUUGAAAAGUGUCUGUUCAUGUCCUUUGCCCACUUUUUAAUGGGGUUGUUUGCUUUUCUCUUAUAAAUUUGUUUAAGUUCCUUAUAGAUGCUGGAUAUUAGACCUUUGUCAGAUGCACAGUUUGCAAAUAAUUUCUCCCAUUCUGUAGAUUGUCUGUUUAUUCUGUUGAUGGUUUAUUUUGCUGUGCCAAAGAUGGUAAGUUUAAUCAGACCCCCAAAACAAGCAAUGGUGAAAAGAUUCCCUAGUCAAUAAAUGGUGCAGGAAUAAAUGGCUAGCCAUAUGCAGAAUAUUGAAGCUAGACCCCUUCCUUAAACCAUACACAAAGAUCAACUCAAAAUGAAUUAAAGACUUAAAUGUAAAACCCAAAGCUAUAAAAACCCUGGAAGACAGCCUAGGCAAUACCAUCCUGGACAUAGGAACGGGCAAAGAUUUCAUGACAAAGACACAAAUAACAAUUGCAAAAAAGCAAAAAUUGACAAGUAUGGUGACUAUAAUUAACAAUAAUUUAUUCUAUAUUUUCUAAUAGCAAGAAAAGAGGAUUUUGAAUGUUCCCAACACAAAGAAGUAAUACAUGUUUGAGGUGAUAUAUAUGUUAAUUAUCCUAAGUUGAUCAUGACACGUUGUAUACAGCUAUCAAUAAAUCACACUUUAUCUUCUGGAAAAUUAUUUUGUACCAAUUAAAAGUAACUUAAAAACACGAGAAAGACCAAAAAUACAUGAGAACACUAUUUCAGCACUAUGGGCAUUUUUAAUUUUAACCAUUAUGAUAAUUUUGUAGUGGUAUCUAAUUGUGACAUAUUCCUGAUAACCGUUGAAAUCAUAUACUUUUCAUAUUUAUUAUCCAUUUAGCUAUGUACUUUUGUGGAGUGCCUGCUGAUGCUUUUUGAUUAUUUUUUUUAAUUUGGAUUGUUUGUCUAUUUCUUAUUUAGUUACAGUCAUUGUUUGUAUGUUUUUGAUAUAUUUUUUUCCAUUACAUUGUUUACAACUAUCUCCUCCCACUCUGUAAUUUAGUUUAGCUUUUUUUUUUAACUCUUGUUGAACAAUGCAUUUUUACUAGUGGGGUCUAAAGUAGCUGUUUCUUUUAUAGUCAGCAUUAUUUUGUCUUGUUUAUAAAAUAUUUAUUUACUUCAAGAUAAUAAAAAGAUAUUCUCCUAUGAUACUACUAGAAUUUUCAUUGUUUUAACUUUGCUAUGUACAUAUAGUAAACCUAGGAUUGCUUUAUUGUGUAUUGUGUGAGAGUCCAAUAUUCAUGUUUUUAAACUACUUUAUUAAAUAAUAUUGACAUAUAUGAGGCUUAGAUAUUUAACAUAUGCAACUUGAUGUAUUUAGAGAUAACUAUACACCUUUAAAACCAUAACCACAAUCAAUGCAAUAAAUUCAACCACCACUUCCACAAGUUUCCCCCAUUUAAAUUUUUUUUUAUUUUUCCCCCUUUUGUGAUAAGAGCACUCAAUAUGAGAUCUAUGCUCUUAGCAAUUUUUAAUGAAUACAAUAUAUUAUUAUUAAUCACAGGCCCUAUGCUGCACAGUAGAUCUCUAGAAUUUUUUAUUUUGCAUAACUGCAACUUUGUCUUCUUUGAUAAACUUUGCCUCAUUUUCCCAUCCUGCUAGCACCUGGAAACCACCAUUCUCCUCUCUACUUCUCUGGAUUUGACUGUUUCAUAUACCACACAUAGAUACCACCUUUUGUCGGAACUCGAGUCAUGACUGACCCUCACUAUACUGAUGCUUUCUGACUGAGUUUCUCUCUACCCUAAAUACAAGAGACUCUAAUAGUUAGGCAGGAAUAUCAUUGCCCCUAUUCCGCCUGAAGAAGUUACAGAAGACGGAUCUUUGCCCCUCUGCAACCCUUAAGAUUAAGGGUUCUCUUAUAAAAGGGAGAAGGGAAAUGCCAGAGGCAUGUGAACCAGAGCAACUCCAUCUUAAGUAGGAGCUGGGUAAAAUGAGGCUGAGACUUACUUGGCUGCAUUCCCAGGCAGUUAAGGCAUUCUAAGUCACAGGAUGAGAUAGGAGGUCAGCACAAGAUACAGGUCAUAAAGACCAUGCUGAUAAAACAGCUUGCAGAAAAGAAGCCAGCUAAAACCCACCUAAACCAAGAUGGCCAUGAGAGUGACCUCUAGUUGUCCUCACUGCUGCACUCCCACCAGUGCCACGACAGUUUACAAAUGCUAUGGCAACAUCAGGAAGUUUCUCUAUAUGGUCUAGAAAGGGAAGGCAGGAAUAAUCCACCCCUUGUUUAGCAUAUCUUCAAGAAAUAACCAUACAAAUGGGCAACCAGCAGCCCUCAGGGCUGCUCUGUCUGUGGAGUAGCCAUUCUUCUAUUCCUUUACUUUCCAAAUAAACUUGCUUUCAUUUUACUCUAUGGACUCAUCCUGAGUUCUUUCUUGCAUGAGAUGUAAGAACCCUCUCUUCGGGUCUGACUCUGGACUCCUUUCCUUUAACAGUCUUCCAAUCUAUGAAUAGGCUAUACUCCUCCAUUUGUUUCAUUGUUUUAAACUGUUGCUAGUAUAUAAAAUGCAAUUGAUUUUUGUAUAUUGACCUUGUGGCUAGCAGUCUCAAUUUAUCUAUUAAUUCUAAUAAUCUUUUAUGCAGAUUUAUUCAGAUUUUAAAUACACAACCAUGUCAUCUGUGAAUAAUAACUGUAUUAUUUCUUUUUGCAAUCCUUACUUUUCAUUUCUCCUUUCUCACAUUAUUACAGAGUUUACAGUUUGCCUCUUUGCCUAAUGCCAAUUCCACAAAAAAUUCAAUAUUUUAUCGUUAAAAAUAUUUAAGUUUAUGGAGAAACUCUUUUAAAUAUUAAUAAAUUGCCAUUGAAAUUCUAGUGGCUAAGUAUUUGGCUCAUGAAUGAAUGUUGAAUUGCAUCCCAUAAAUUUUCUGCAUCUAUUGAGAUUCUUACAUUUUUUCCUUACUCUUAAUAUAAUGACUUACAUUAAUUUUCUAAUGUUAAAUCAACUUUUCAUUUCUAUUAUAAACUUGAUUAUGAUAUAUUGACCUUUUCAUAUAUCAUUUAAUUUGACUUGCUAAUAUAUUUUGGAUUUCUGCUUCCAUGUUCCUAAAAGAUAUUUGCAUGUUCUUUUCUUUUCUUGUAAUGUUUUCGUCAGAUUUUGGCAUCAUACUUUAAUUACAAAGUAAGUCCUUAAUUUUUUUUUAUUAUCAUAAAAUGUUUAGGUUAAUAUUGGUGUCAUUUUCUUUCCUUAGUGGUCUGUAAUAAUUCACUGGUGAAGUCAUCUAAGCCUGGAGUUUUGGUGGUAGAAAACUUCAAAUUACAGAAUUGAUUUUUAAUAGAUAGAAAACUAUUCAGACAUUCUGUGUGCUUGUGUCAGUCAUGUAUAGUACAGUUUUCAAGAUAUUUAUCAAUUUUAUCUGAAUGUUUAAAUGUAUUCCCAAUGUUGUUAAUAUCCUCUCAUCUUUUAAUGUCUGCAUGAUCAGUCACAUUCCUAAAAUUGUCAUUUUAUCUUUUUUUCUUUAUCUUGAUAAUUACUUUAUUAAGUAAAGGUAAUUAUCAAUUAUUUUUAAAGAAAAAACUUCUGAAUUUUAAAACUCCUUGGCGUAUGUUUUGUAGUUCAGUAGCUUCUGAUCUUAAUUUUUAUUGUUAAUAAAAAUUAUAAAAUAAAAAUCUUAUUUUUACUGGAU